GAUGAACGCUGGCGGCGUGCCUAAUACAUGCAAGUCGAGCGAACGGACGAGAAGCUUGCUUCUCUGAUGUUAGCGGCGGACGGGUGAGUAACACGUGGAUAACCUACCUAUAAGACUGGGAUAACUUCGGGAAACCGGCGCUAAUACCGGAUAAUAUUUUGAACCGCAUGGUUCAAAAGUGAAAGACGGUCUUGCUGUCACUUAUAGAUGGAUCCGCGCUGCAUUAGCUAGUUGGUAAGGUAACGGCUUACCAAGGCAACGAUGCAUAGCCGACCUGAGAGGGUGAUCGGCCAGACUGGAAGUGAGACACGGUACAGACUCCUACGGGAGGAAGCAGUAGGGAAUCUUCCGCAAUGGGCGAAAGCCUGACGGAGCAACGCCGCGUGAGUGAUGAAGGUCUUCGGAUCGUAAAACUCUGUUAUUAGGGAAGAACAUAUGUGUAAGUAACUGUGCACAUCUUGACGGUACCUAAUCAGAAAGCCACGGCUAACUACGUG
rnacentral:rRNA from 1 species